rnacentral:lncRNA from 1 species
GCAGGCUGAGGCUGAGGAGCUGGCGGCAGGAACAAGGGAGAGCUGUGUCCCCGCCGGCGCCCCCCACCCCCCCUGCCGGGGAUCUUGGCAGUGGAGGUGCUGGCUGCGCUCCACAGACCUCAGACCUCGGCUGGGACCAGAAAUGCCUGGUGCUUCCGCCUGGGCCCGGUGGGGGGACUUUGGGUCCCCAGAGUGCAAGCUGUACCACUUCGAGGGGCCUCGCCAGGCCCCCCAGCCCCCAGUACACAGGGGCUGCCGUGGAGAUGACGCUGAAGGCCGCAGCCGCUGGAGGACCUGGGGUCUGACCGGAAGCUGGCUGCAGACCCUGCGGAGGCACGUCCAGGCCUCUGCUCUCCGGGGCUACGGCCUCCCACAGGCACGUUCCUACAUCCCUCUGUGAACCGCCCACAGGCCCCCCCACAGGUGUUCCUCUGUGAGCUGGUCGGGCGGCCGGGGCCGGGGCCGGGCUUCGCUGCUCCGUGCCUUCCACCUCCCUGGCGGUGCGGGGCCUCAGGGUGGGCCUGGGAAGCUGGAAACACCUUUGGAAACAGCCGCCUGAGGCAGCUGUGGACAGAAGACCCUGCCCAGCAGCCAAGGGAGCUGGCCUCUCCGCUCAGCCUCCCCACCCCCACCA